UACGAAGGGGGCUAGCGUUGUUCGGAAUUACUGGGCGUAAAGCGCACGUAGGCGGACUAUUAAGUCAGGGGUGAAAUCCCGGGGCUCAACCCCGGAACUGCCUUUGAUACUGGUAGUCUCGAGUCCGGAAGAGGUGAGUGGAAUUCCGAGUGUAGAGGUGAAAUUCGUAGAUAUUUGGAAGAACACCAGUGGCGAAGGCGACUCGCUGGACAAGUAUUGACGCUGAGGUGCGAAAGCGUGGGGAGCAAACAGG
rnacentral:rRNA from 1 species